AAGAAACGAGAGGGCAUAAGACUGGCACGCAAGCGGAGGCGGGGGCAAAAGGCUGAAUAUUGUUUUGCAAGCGUGGCACCAGCUCACCUUUGCUCCCGCAGCACCGUUCUCCCCCUUCGCUCCGUCCAGACCGGGAUGGCCCUGCAAGGCGACAGUGACGAGAGUGGAAGGCCAGGUGUCCCGGGAAAUCCACGAGCUCCCUGAAAUGAACGCACAAAGAGAGCGAAGGGAUGAAGUUCAGAUCCCUCCUCGCAUGAGAUCAUCAAGUCAUUCCACUUCUCCUCUAACCUGAGGUCCAGCAGGUCCGCGCUCACCAGCUUUGCCAGAUUGCAGACUCACCCCUCCAAGGCCUGGGACUCCAGGCGGGCCAGGUGGGCCAGCGGGUCCGGGGUUUCCGGGAGUGCCGGGCUCGCCGUCCCUUCCACGAGGUCCAGCAUUUCCCUAAAGGCCGGGGUAAAAAAAAAAUGGCCUUUGAGCGACACGUCACUGGAAUGACUAAUAAGGAUGAAAAAGCAAAACAUGAUCACGGGAGUCCACCCAUCGGUUAUUUUGAAAUAUUUCCACUUGAAAAAAAAAAAGUAUUCAAAUCUAGUCUUGCUAAUGUAUGUUGUUGUGGUCUCCAACCU